GCCUGAAUGUGGACAUUUCCUGAGUAGAUCCUUGUAACGUUCCCAUGCUUCAUGAAUUGCUUCAUUAGGUUUCUGAGCAAAUGUUAAAAUUUGAGUACUCAUAUC